rnacentral:rRNA from 1 species
ACAACAGACGGAAACGACUGCUAAUACCGAAUAAGUUCCAAGAGCCGCAUGGCCCAUGGAAGAAAAGGUGGCCUCUACCUGUAAGCUAUCGCCUGAAGAGGGGUUCGCGUCUGAUUAGCUGGUUGGAGGGGUAACGGCCCACCAAGGCGACGAUCAGUAGCCGGUCUGAGAGGAUGAACGGCCACCACUGGAACUGAGACACGGUCCAGACUCCUACGGGAGGCAGCAUG